AGGGCUAUCGCCAAGCGGUAAGGCAGCGGCUUUUUAUUCCGGCAUUCCCUGGUUCGAAUCCAGGUAGCCCUGCCA
rnacentral:tRNA from 1 species